CCAAUAGGUAUUCCCGUAGUACGGCGAGUGAACCGGGAAGAGCUCAAAUUUGAAAUCUGGCGUGCUCAGUGCGUCCGAGUUGUAAUCUAUAGAGUCGUUUUCCGUGCCGGACUGUGUCCAAGUCCCUUGGAACAGGGUAUCAAAGAGGGUGAUAAUCCCGUACUUGACACAAUGACCGGUGCUCUGUGAUACGUCUUCUACGAGUCGAGUUGUUUGGGAAUGCAGCUCAAAAUGGGUGGUGAGUUCCAUCUAAAGCUAAAUAUUGGCGAGAGACCGAUAGCGAACAAGUACCGUGAGGGAAAGAUGAAAAGCACUUUGGAAAGAGAGUUAAACAGUACGUGAAAUUGUUAAAAGGGAAACGAUUGAAGUCAGUCGUGACUGAGAGGCUCAGCCGGUUCUGCCGGUGUAUUCCCCUCAGUCGGGUCAACAUCAGUUUUGUUCGGUGGAUAAGGGCAGUUGGAAGGUGGCACCCUCGGGUGUGUUAUAGCCAGCUGUCGCAUACAUCGGAUGAGACUGAGGAAUGCAGCUCGCCUUUAUGGCCGGGGUUCGCCCACGUUCGAGCUUAGGAUGUUGACAUAAUGGCUUUAAACGACCCGUCUUG
rnacentral:rRNA from 1 species